rnacentral:lncRNA from 1 species
UCCAUCACUGGGAAGCCCCUGCAGCUCAGGGUGGUGGGGUGGGGGUGGGGGUGGGGUGCGGGGUGGGUGGGGGAGUGGUGGGGGUGGGUGGGUGGGGGUGGGGGGGUGGUGGGGGUGGGGUGGGUGGGGGUGGGGGGGGUGGGGGUGUGGGGGGGUGGGGGUGUGGGGGUGGGGGGGAGGGCGGAGUCUGCGUUCUGACUUCUCCCGCUUAUGUUUUCUUGCUCCAGGAACUAGCCGCAUGGGCUCCAUGGGUCAGCCUUGCUGCUGGCACCCAGAGGCGCAGGGGACGCUCAGACGACAGAUGGCCCCACGAAGACCCAAACCGACCGUUUUCAACUCCAAUGCCGGCCUCAGUCUAGCAGUCUGUAGCCAGUGGGGGAAGCCACUCCUCCGCAGCCUAGGGGGGUCUCAGCCGCAAGCCCCGGGAUCCUGGAGCCUCCUUCCGGAACCCUUUCCUUAGGGGCCCUCGGGGCGGGGCAGGAAGGUCUGCAGUCGCGACUUUUCUUUUCUUUGCCCCCUCCUGGCUCAGGCGUCCCCAGGUCCGCACGCGGAGCCUCCGUCUGCCGCGGGGCGACCUGCCGGGUGCGGACAAUCAGAUCCUGAGCCUCACGCUCCACCGCGUGCGCUGCGCACCGGCUCGCGGCUCCUGCAAUCUGAGCACCGGCCGCCCGCAGGUGCUUCCUGGUGCUUUACCUGUCGGCCUCAAAGAACCCCUACAGCAACUCAGUGUAGUGAUGGGGAGACAGGCUCCUACCUUGCUCAGGUCACCUCCAAAACUGGCCAACUCCCCGGGGGCGCGUAAACCGGGCCUCCUCUCGGAGGAGAGGCCAGGCGGGGGCUGAGC